GUAAUUAUGACUACUUAAUUAGACUAUUUUUAAGUUUUGUAACUUGGCACUUGUACUACCCCGAAUCCUUUCAAAGUAAUUUCUAAGACUAUUUUACAGUUUAGCAAAGAAACAAAAACUCCCUCCCUCCCUUAAUCCUUUCAAAAUAAAAGCACAAAUUCAAUUUAUUAGUGCUAUUAGCAAAAUUUCUGCUUCAGACUAGUUAUUAAGACUAUUUAGUAUAGACUCUAAUAGUAAUAUCUGACAGCUGUCUGGGAGAAAUGCAGAAGGACUGACAUUUUAAAUUUUAGAGUGUGACCACAAUCUUUUGUCCUUAAACUAAUGAUUUUCCCACCCUUCAUCUCAAUGAGGACAUCAACUGAAACAGUUUGAUUGACAUGUCAAACUCCUGAUGCUCAGAGUACGUAUAGUACUGAUUAGUUAAUUUCACUGUUGGAUUAUUUAGUAAUUAAGCACACACCUCUAAAUCCUUUCAAAAUUAAAACAUCAAGCCAAAUAACUACCUUUAAUAUCUUGACUAGUUAAUUAUGACUAAUUAAUGAGGACUGUUUUACAGUUUUUAAAUAACCCCAUACACUCCCUCCCUCCAAAUACUUUAAAAAAAGCAUUGUAUUCAAUUUAUUUGCUUUAUUAGAAAACGCUGAGUGCACUUAAGAUUCUUUUUUUUUAAUUUACUUAUUACCUUGUAUGCACAGUUGCUAUAAUUUUGUUGUUAGUUUUAUCCUGUUUUUUACGCACAUACAGAGAAAUAGGAGAUAUUUAACUAUGUCAACUGUGACUAUGAAAUGACUGUUUCUUGUCUCUUCACUUAACAAUCAAAUAUCCGAGUGCAUGUAAACGCCACAUUGGCUUACGUAACACCGGACGUUCGCUUCCGUUACAUUCGGCACUGGUUCCAUUGAGUUGCAUCCAGUCUACACCUCGUUGACUCAGAAGAAUUACGCUCUACACAUCGUUGACUCAGAAGAAAGAAGCAUCCAGUCUACACUUUGUUGUACAUAGGCGCUGUCUCCUCCUGUUUGUCAUUUGUAUUGUUAUAUGUGACUAAAUAACGACUGCAAAGACAACUUUGAAGUGACUUUUCUAUUGAAACCUGUUCCUGGACUUUUCGCCAAUUGGGAAGGUGCGCCCCGGGAGGCCUGAGACUUUUCGCCUUUUCAGGGAAAUGUGCGCCCUGUGAGGCCCCAGACUUUUCGCCUUUUCAGGGAAAUGUGCGCCCUGUGAGGCCCCAGACUUAAGAUUCGUUUAGAUGUGAACGGAGGUUUGAACGCUUGAGAAUUGAACUGAGAAUUGAGCUGGGAAUUGAACUGAGAAUUGAUCUGAGAAUUAAGUGAGAAUUGAGAGAACUUGCUGAUAGAGGUAAGUGAUCACCCUCUGAAGCCUGAAGAAGAACUUGCUGAAAGUUGAAAGGAAGAAGGUUGUAAGUGUAUUGAUUUAAGCAAAGGAGCAAAUAUUUAGUAUAAGUUAAGUAUCAUAGUAUAAGUCUAUUAUAUUUGUAAAUACUUGAAGUGUGAAGUUAUUUCACCAGAUUGUAAAUACUUGUAAUACUUAUUCACAAAAAAGUGUUUAAAUAUAAAUUCCAUAAACUACCUGUUCAAGAUACAUUUGUUUGUUUUCUUGUAGUAUUAUCCUUUGACAAGAACUGAACAUUUUAACUUGUCAAUUGUGUACUAAUUAAACAUAUUUUCAUAAACACUUAAUAAA